CCCAGCCCCACGCUCCAAACCUUAUCCCCUUUGGCCCCAUUGCUCCAGAUCCACCACGCACACCGCCGCCAUAGGUGCCCUCUCCGGCCGACGGCGGUGCUACGCGUCGCCACCACUUUGGGCCCCUCUUUCUCCCACCUCUCCAUCGCUAUCCCCACAUGGCUGCUGUUUUCCCACGUCGAGGCGGGCAUGUGCCGGCGCCGCCAUCACGCAGGUGCCAACGGAGGCGCUUUUUGUUCAUACCCAAGUGCCGGUGAUGCCACCUCUCACCUCUCUCUCUCUCUCAUGGCUCCACCGCCCCAACCCAGACCAGCUAGAUCUAAGUGGGACAAACCUUCGCUCCGGGUGGUCUGGUCUGAGGUAGCCAGCCUCUGCUUCCUCUGCUCUGGGUGAUUAGAAGCACGGGAGAACAGGAGCUAGCCAUCCAUGGCAUAAACAACAUCGGCAAAUUAAUCUUUGUAAGUAUGGUGGAUGGUUGGGCAAAAAGGCCACCGAAAGAUGUCCAUAGACAUAUGCCUGCAUUACAUCGACUUGAUGCUACUAUUUACUCUCUCAAGAACCUCUGUAGGCAAAUGUUAGUAAACAAAAUAGUGUGUUCCUUUCAGAAGAGUACAGAAGAAUUUGCGUUCCUGUAAAGAAAUAAGGCGGACCAUCUAAUAAAACAUUGUUUCAGAAUAUGUGGUUUGGGAAUGAUUGUUCGGUUUUUUCUUACGAGAGCUGGAUAACAAGAUAAAAGUUCCUUACAUGAUGGAACGUUGAUGGAGAGUCAAUGGAAUGUCUGAAGAGAGUUAUCCCCUAUGGGCACAUGGACAUUGCAUAAUCAGUCUUGUCAUGGGAAUAAUUUGCCUGCCUAAAGAAGGCGAAGCAAUCAGCCAAGCAAUUAAACUGGAGUCCAGUAAAGAGAAAUCUUCCAGUGACAAUCAAGAGUUGAAUCGUAGCAUUCCAAAGGAGACAAGUCAUCCAACCAUCCAGCAGAAGUGUAGACAGUUUAAAGAAAC